AGCUUUGCACAGUGGCAAUAUUGUAGCCAAUGAGGCUUAUCUGAGGCGCAAUUAUUGGCUAAUUAAACUAUCUCACUGACCAA
ensembl:snRNA U4 U4 spliceosomal RNA